rnacentral:rRNA from 1 species
CACGUAGGGGACGAGCGUUGUCCGGAAUCAUUGGGCGUAAAGCGUGCGCAGGCGGUUUUGUAAGCCGGAUGUGAAAUCCCCGGGCUUAACCUGGGAAUGGCAUUCGGGACUGCAAGGCUGGAGUGCGGCAGAGGAGACUGGAAUUCCUGGUGUAGCAGUGAAAUGCGUAGAUAUCAGGAGGAACACCGAUGGCGAAGGCAGGUCUCUGGGCUGACACUGACGCUCAUGCACGAAAGCGUGGGGAGCAA